rnacentral:rRNA from 1 species
AGUGAACGCUGGCGGUAGGCCUAACACAUGCAAGUCGAACGGCAGCACAGUAAGAGCUUGCUCUUACGGGUGGCGAGUGGCGGACGGGUGAGGAAUACAUCGGAAUCUACUUUUUCGUGGGGGAUAACGUAGGGAAACUUACGCUAAUACCGCAUACGACCUACGGGUGAAAGCAGGGGAUCUUCGGACCUUGCGCGAUUGAAUGAGCCGAUGUCGGAUUAGCUAGUUGGCGGGGUAAAGGCCCACCAAGGCGACGAUCCGUAGCUGGUCUGAGAGGAUGAUCGGCCACCCGGGACCUGAGCCCCGUCCCAGCCCCCUCCGGGGGGCAGCAGUGGGGAUUAUUGACAAAUGGGCGCAAGCCUGAUCCAGCCAUCCCGCGUGGGUGAAGAAGGCCUUCGGGUUGUAAAGCCCUUUUGUUGGGAAAAAAAAGCGGCAGUUAAUACCCCGCUGUUCUGACGGUACCCAAAGAAUAAGCACCGGCUAACUUCGUG